CUUGCGGGCUACUUCACCGUCACCAGCCCAUCUGUAGUAUUGUAGGGAUGGACAUAUGGAUUGAGUGGUACCCACCUGAAAGAUACACAUCUCAGCAGCCAAGAACUUCAAUAAAAAUGGAAGAGGUAUGAAAUUCUCAACUUAGGAAGGAACAUACAACCUGUAAUGUGUCGAUCACUAACUAAUAAACAGGAGCCUGAUGUUGGAAAGAAGCAACUGG